UGAGCAACAACAGGAAGGAGAACCUUUAACUGUUCCAAGGCUGAUGUUUGAUUAUGUGGAACUGGACUGCACAUUACAAAAUUCAGAUUGUUUUCAAAGAACAGCUGCUUCUGGUACACUUUUCAUGACAUAAUGAAGCCUAUAUGCCUCACAAAAGCCUCCCUCACUUUCAUCCACAGUCAGAAAAGUAUGCUCCUUCUCCCUAGACCCACAGGAUAGAAGGACACCAUGGGAGCAACAGUGAGUGAAGUCAAGUCCUCACCUUCUUGGAACACCUUCACCUUCUAGUGAAGAAAAAUAACAUCAGAACAGGCAAACACAAAGAAAAACGUAGAUUCAGAGACUAAAAAUGUUCAGCAAGGAAAGCAAACCAUGCCAAGGGGGGUGGCUAUAAAUCAGAGUGUUGUUCUGAUUGUAAAAAUUUACUGUUUGAGCCUCAAUUAAAGAAAUUUAUCAUUAUGAAC
ensembl:lincRNA Gm14102 predicted gene 14102